rnacentral:rRNA from 1 species
UUGACCUCGGAUCAGGUAGGAAUACCCGCUGAACUUAAGCAUAUCAGUAAGCGGAGAGAA